rnacentral:lncRNA from 1 species
CAUAGAUGACCUUUCAGUGAACUGCAAGAACUUUUGACUGUACUUGGUUUACCAUCUGUAAUAAUAGUAAUAACAACAAUAACAGUAACCAUAAUAACCACCAACAAACCAAAGCAGAGAGUAUCAACCUCCCUUUUGCUGCCAUCCACUCUCUACAGACUGCUGCUCUGUCGGGUGCCCUACAAGUUCCCUGCAUCUCCAGUUUCAAGUAGUCUGAAAGAAUUUCUUGCAGGUUCUCUUAGAAUACUCCUUGGACUUGCUGAAAGAUGAUGGAAGUGAAAGCAAAACUAUUACAUUUGUGAGCAGUGCCAGGUGAGGAGCGGCAGGAAGAGCCCUGAAGAAUUCAGAAUAAUCUCAUCACGGUGAAGCAACGUCCCUCCUCAGUUUUGAAGGCCACAUGAUACAUGAACACUUGCUAACCACCCAAUACAGUGGGAAAUUAUGUUACAGUGACUAUCUUAUCUGUAG